UUAGCGGCGGACGGGUGAGUAACACGUGGGUAACCUGCCUGUAAGACUGGGAUAACUCCGGGAAACCGGGGCUAAUACCGGAUGCUUGUUUGAACCGCAUGGUUCAAACAUAAAAGGUGGCUUCGGCUACCACUUACAGAUGGACCCGCGGCGCAUUAGCUAGUUGGUGAGGUAAUGGCUCACCAAGGCGACGAUGCGUAGCCGACCUGAGAGGGUGAUCGGCCACACUGGGACUGAGACACGGCCCAGACUCCUACGGGAGGCAGCAGUAGGGAAUCUUCCGCAAUGGACGAAAGUCUGACGGAGCAACGCCGCGUGAGUGAUGAAGGUUUUCGGAUCGUAAAGCUCUGUUGUUAGGGAAGAACAAGUACCGUUCGAAUAGGGCGGUACCUUGACGGUACCUAACCAGAAAGCCACGGCUAACUACGUGCCAGCAGCCGCGGUAAUACGUAGGUGGCAAGCGUUGUCCGGAAUUAUUGGGCGUAAAGGGCUCGCAGGCGGUUUCUUAAGUCUGAUGUGAAAGCCCCCGGCUCAACCGGGGAGGGUCAUUGGAAACUGGGGAACUUGAGUGCAGAAGAGGAGAGUGGAAUUCCACGUGUAGCGGUGAAAUGCGUAGAGAUGUGGAGGAACACCAGUGGCGAAGGCGACUCUCUGGUCUGUAACUGACGCUGAGGAGCGAAAGCGUGGGGAGCGAACAGGAUUAGAUACCCUGGUAGUCCACGCCGUAAACGAUGAGUGCUAAGUGUUAGGGGGUUUCCGCCCCUUAGUGCUGCAGCUAACGCAUUAAGCACUCCGCCUGGGGAGUACGGUCGCAAGACUGAAACUCAAAGGAAUUGACGGGGGCCCGCACAAGCGGUGGAGCAUGUGGUUUAAUUUGAAGCAACGCGAAGAACCUUACCAGGUCUUGACAUCCUCUGACAAUCCUAGAGAUAGGACGUCCCCUUCGGGGGCAGAGUGACAGGUGGUGCAUGGUUGUCGUCAGCUCGUGUCGUGAGAUGUUGGGUUAAGUCCCGCAACGAGCGCAACCCUUGAUCUUAGUUGCCAGCAUUCAGUUGGGCACUCUAAGGUGACUGCCGGUGACAAACCGGAGGAAGGUGGGGAUGACGUCAAAUCAUCAUGCCCCUUAUGACCUGGGCUACACACGUGCUACAAUGGACAGAACAAAGGGCAGCGAAACCGCGAGGUUAAGCCAAUCCCACAAAUCUGUUCUCAGUUCGGAUCGCAGUCUGCAACUCGACUGCGUGAAGCUGGAAUCGCUAGUAAUCGCGGAUCAGCAUGCCGCGGUGAAUACG
rnacentral:rRNA from 1 species